rfam:Schistosoma haematobium scaffold640_4, whole genome shotgun sequence.
AUAUAGCUGAUGAGUUCCAAAUAGGAUGAAACGCGCGUUCUAGAU